GACAAAGAUAACCAAACCCCUCUGGCCUCAUUAAGCCUCAAUCCUCACAAAGGGUCCUGCUCACCACUGGAGACUAAUUUGGGAUGCUCUUUUUCUAUUAGGAUUCACCAGUGACACAGAGCAAGGCAUUCAGUCACCUUCACCCUUGGGGUCUCAGUUUCCCCUGUUAAAAGAGUUGAAAGAGCUUUAGAUACCACAGCUUUAAACCACAGAGCUCUGAAAAACAAAAACAGGAUGUCUGCCUCUGAAGCUGCUGCUCUGUGUAUUUUUCCUGAGACUGUGCUAUCUGGGACCAGGAUGAAGAUUUGUUGGCCCUAA
rnacentral:lncRNA from 1 species